rnacentral:rRNA from 1 species
UAGAACUUUCCAGAGAUGGAUUGGUGCCUUCGGGAACUAUGAGACAGGUGCUGCAUGUCUGUCGUCAGCUCGUGUUGUGAUAUGUUGGGUUAAGUCCCGCUACGAGCGCAACCCUUAUCCUUGUUUGCCAGCACUUCGGCUGGGAACUCCAGGGAGACUGCCGGUGAUAAACCGGAGGAAGUUGGGGACGACGUCAAGUCAUCAUGGCCCUUACGAGUAGGGCUACACACGUGCUACAAUGGCGCAUACAGAGGUCGCCCUACUUGCGAAAGUGAGCGAAUCCCAAAAAGUGCGUCGUAGUCCGGAUUGGAGUCUGCAACUCGACUCCAUGAAGUCGGAAUCGCUAAUAAUCGUGGAUCAGAAUGCCACGGUGAAUACGUUCCCGGGCCUUGUACACACCGCCCGUCACACCAUGGGAGUGGAUUGCACCAGAAGUAGUUAGUCUAACCUUCGGGGGGACGAUUACCACGGUGUGGUUCAUGACUGGGGUGAAGUCGUAACAAGGUAACUCGUC